rnacentral:rRNA from 1 species
CCUACGGGUGGCAGCAGUGAGGAAUAUUGGUCAAUGGCCGGAAGGCUGAACCAGCCAAGCCGCGUGAAGGAAGCAGGUGCCAAGCAUUGUAAACUUCUUUUGUCAAGGGACAAAAUCAGGCUCGAGAGCCUGACCGAGGGUACUUGAAGAAAAAGCAUCGGCUAACUCCGUGCCAGCAGCCGCGGUAAUACGGAGGAUGCGAGCGUUAUCCGGAUUUAUUGGGUUUAAAGGGUGCGUAGGCGGGCUGUUAAGUCAGCGGUAAAAGCCCGGGGCUAAACCCCGGCGAGCCGUUGAAACUGGUUGUCUUGAGAGGUCGUGAGGUAUGCGGAAUGGGCAGUGUAGCGGUGAAAUGCUGAGAGAUUGCGCAGAACUCCGAGUGCGAAGGCAGCAUACCGGCGGAGAUCUGACGCUGAGGCACGAAAGCGUGGGGAUCGAACAGGAUUAGAUACCCCGGUAGUC